AGUGUUUUGAGCUCAGGAAAUUCCAAAAGUCAGUGGAGCAGAUUAGAAGGAAAGUUCUAGAAAUGAAAUGACAUUGGAGUUCCUAAAAGAAAAGAGAAAGAUCAAAUUAUAGGGCUUGCACUGAGUUUCAAAGAGGAUUGGCAAGAUGGGUUGUAGAAUUAAAUGACAGGCAGAGUGUGUAUGUGGAGAAGGGUUGGUGUAAAUGUAUGUGUGUUGGUGUGUGUGUACACAUGCAUGAGAGAGAGAGGAGGGAAGCAACAGAGGGCUAUUGAUGCAAACCUAUAGCCUAAUUAAUUAUCCACGACAGAAAAAGAAAUUCCUCCUACCCUUGCAAGUUGUCUUGUCUUCCUCUGAAUACAAAGUGUAUACCAACAGAAUCUACCAGCCAACCAGAACAGAAAUUACCCUUGUUUGGAGAACUUCAAAAAAUUAUCAGAUGAGAACUCACAGAAGACACAGGAAUACGACAUAACAACAGAUACAGAGCCUGGAGUAAUGACAGUACAAGUCAAGGAACACCAAGGAUCACCAGCUGCCACCCAACCCAGGAAGAGGAUUUUGCUCCUCAAGUCAUUGUACUUUGGUACCUACGAAUUUCAACCUUGUCCUUCAUACCCCGUGGGUGUGAAGAUUCCUGGCAGGACUCUAUUUCCACGCUGCAACUAGUAUCUUUCAGAGCCACCCGGUGAAUGGAACUGAAAUGCUACAGGAGUUUGCUUUGGGAUGCUGCAGUGCUGCUAAUGGCUGAGGGCAUCACUGAGAUGUUCUGUAACUCACUGCAGGCGAGAUGCCGCUUCAGUAUCCCAUACCUUUGGCUGCUCUUCGUCUACUAUACCUCCUCACACUUCUCCCAGUCACCUUUCCAGCAGCUGUGAUUCCAGCUGAUUUUGGCCACCCACAUUGAUCUGGACAGGAUGCCUCUCAGAUGGAGUCUCCUCAGCCGCCCAGGUUGGAGUGCAGUGGCGUGAUCUCAGCUCACUGCAACCACUGUCUCCCGGGUUCAAUAGAUUCUCCCAACUCAGCCUCCCGAGUAGCUGGGAUUACAGGCACCUGCCAUCAUGCCUGGCUAAUUAGAGAAUAACUUUUUACAGGACUUAGCAUCAUAUUUUUAUUUGUAUAAAAUAAACAUAAAACUAGAGCUUAUUUCCUGUUAACCAUUUUGUGAGUCUUUUUGUACACUUCCAAAACACCAAUAGCCACUUUAUUAUUUUUCUUUUGCUUUUGUUAGCAUCUUUGGGCCACACAAAUAUUUAGAAGAUUUAUGUGGUAUCAAACUCAUAAUUUUGUGUAAACAAAGCUCACCCAUUUCUAUAUAGUUCAUAUUUCUAAGCCAAGGCAAAGACAAAAUAGGGAUCAUUUUUCUUUGACAAUUUUAUUUAGCAUAAAAGACUAUAUACAGGCAUUACACCUGUAAAAAACAAUUCCAUGUAAAUAAUAAACAUAAACCCCAUAAUUUGGUUUAUAUCUUUAUCCACCUAUCAAAUUCCAUGACCAUUCCCUUAAUUUACAUUUUUACCAGUUUGGUCAGGAUUCAUAGUUGGAGACAGUAGAAUCUUCUUUACCUGAUUGAUGCAAGAGGAAUUACUAAGUGAUAUGACUAGUUCACAGAAUUGUUAAGAGAGCUGAGAAAACAGACUAUGAUGACUUCAUUAACCACAACACAGAAUUAGGCCUCUCAAGGAGUUUCUACCUUUACCCUGCCUCUGCCCCUGUGGAUUUGUGGCUGAAUCAGUGGGCUGGUAUUAGUGCUGUUCCUAUGACGAUGGUUCUAGCUCCAGAAUUACAUCAUCUCUUCCACCCUUUUCCAACAAAAUGUAGCCCCACGUCUGCCUCUCUCCCUUGUAACUCAGUUCCAUAUCAGUUUUGUGUAAGUGCAGCUGUACACAGGAUGGACCCUAGUGCAUAUGCAAUGUCCUAGUUGCAGAGGAGUCUGGGAAACACAGGUUUGGGUGUUCUAGUCUCUACAGCACAAAAAGAUAUGAUAGAAGGGAGUUGAAAUGAGAGUUGAUCAAGCCCAAUCUAAUAGUAUAACUCAUAACUUUCUUAUAUUUCUACUGAGGCCAGAAUGGUCUUUAAAAUGAAACCAUAAUGUUGCUACUCCUGACAUAAAAUCCUUCAGGGAAUUCUAAAGUCAUUCAACAUGGGAACUCUUCAAUAUGCAUUAUAAAACUUUGAUGAUGCAACCCUUAUCCAGGUCUGUAGCCUCAUCUCCUUCCCUCAUAUAUGUAUUUACAAAGUCAGUAUGUGGUUUCAGACCUCCCAAUAUUUGCAUAUUCUGUUCUCUUUGCCUGGAACAUCUUUCUCUGUCUUCUUUCCCUAACUAAUUCCUACUAGUACUUCAAUUAGCUUUGCUAUUAUCACUUGUUCCCAAAGAUGCCCAAUCCCUGUAAUAUGAUGGGAUGUCUACCCAUCUAGCCUCAUAUAAUAUUCUACACAUAUUGAUUUGUAGCACUCAUUUCAUGGAACCGUCAUUAGCCUGAUUUAUUUUUCAG
rnacentral:lncRNA from 1 species